rnacentral:rRNA from 1 species
CCUACGGGUGGCAGCAGUGAGGAAUAUUGGUCAAUGGGCGCAAGCCUGAACCAGCCAAGUCGCGUGAGGGAUGAAGGUUCUAUGGAUCGUAAACCUCUUUUAUAAGGGAAUACAGUGUGGGACGUGUCCUAUUUUGUAUGUACCUUAUGAAUAAGCAUCGGCUAACUCCGUGCCAGCAGCCGCGGUAAUACGGAGGGUUCCAGCGUUAUCCGGAUUUAGUGGGUUUAAAGGGUGCGUAGUCGGGCUUCUAAGUCAGCGGUGAAAGUCUGUGGCUCAACCGUAGAAUUGCCGUUGAAACUGGGGGUCUUGAGUAUGUUGGAGGCAGGCGGAAUGCGUGGUGUAGCGGUGAAAUGCUUAGAUAUCACGCAGAACCCCGAUGGCGAAGGCAGACUACCAAGCCAUGACUGACGCUGAUGCACGAAAGCGUGGGGAUCAAACAGGAUUAGAUACCCUAGUAGUC